GACGAACGCUGGCGGCGUGCUUAACACAUGCAAGUCGAACGGAAAGGCCCUGCUUUUGUGGGGUGCUCGAGUGGCGAACGGGUGAGUAACACGUGAGUAACCUGCCCUUGACUUUGGGAUAACUUCAGGAAACUGGGGCUAAUACCGGAUAGGAGCUCCUGCUGCAUGGUGGGGGUUGGAAAGUUUCGGCGGUUGGGGAUGGACUCGCGGCUUAUCAGCUUGUUGGUGGGGUAGUGGCUUACCAAGGCUUUGACGGGUAGCCGGCCUGAGAGGGUGACCGGCCACAUGGGGACUGAGAUACGGCCCAGACUCCGACGGGAGGCAGCAGGGGGGAAUAUUGCACAAUGGGCGGAAGCCUGAUGCAGCAACGCCGCGUGCGGGAUGACGGCCUUCGGGUGGUAAACCGCUUUCGCCUGUGACGAAGCGUGGGUGACGGUAAUGGGUAAAGAAGCACCGGCUAACUACGG
rnacentral:rRNA from 1 species